UACGUAGGGUGCAAGCGUUAAUCGGAAUUACUGGGCGUAAAGCGUGCGCAGGCGGUGAUGUAAGACAGUUGUGAAAUCCCCGGGCUCAACCUGGGAACUGCAUCUGUGACUGCAUCGCUGGAGUGCGGCAGAGGGGGAUGGAAUUCCGCGUGUAGCAGUGAAAUGCGUAGAUAUGCGGAGGAACACCGAUGGCGAAGGCAAUCCCCUGGGCCUGCACUGACGCUGAGACGCGAAAGCGUGGGGAGCAAACAGG
rnacentral:rRNA from 1 species